rnacentral:lncRNA from 1 species
ACAUGAAAACAAUAAUGUGAUGGGAAAAUGUUAUGAUGUGUUAAUAGAAUAAUGCAGGACAUUAAACUGCACAACGGUAAAGUGCCAACUGAUAUUGCAGCGUGGUUAAUAGCUCUGGGUGGAGCAGUUCUACAUGGGUUUGAUCUUUUUUUUCUCUUCUUCCUUUUUGAUUUUGCAAAAUUUCAUACUGACAAGUUGAAAUGAGGAAACUGUUCCAGGUAUGCUGGUUGGGACCCACAGUGUGGUGGAUCAUGUGCCAUGCCUGCUGGCCUGUAUCUCACUGCAAGUUCAGGGGAAGUGAUUCUUUUAAACCAUGAAGAACUCAGACGAGCCAAGGGCAGUCCUCCUGCCCCUUGAAGAGAAAAGAGCACCACACGAUGCUUUCCUUCUGUCCAAGAACUAAGGUUCAUUUUACAUGCCUGAAAGCUAACUGUGGGCCCAGCUGCGUUUCACCCUGAAGGUCCUGUGGCUGCAGACACACACCUGGAUGGAGCAGUGCUGCCCAGCUCAUCCCACCUGUGCCCAUACAGCUUCUAAUGCCAGCUUCUACCAGACCAACCUCGUUCCCAGCCCCCAGGAGCUGCCAGAGGCCCUGAGGACUCAGCCAAGCUCUAACUGGUGGACCCUGGGUAAGGGGUGUGGCAGGCAUACCCUGGGUGAAGGGGUGUGGGGGACAGAUACUGGGUGAAGUGGUGUGGCGAGCAGACAGUAAUGCAUUCACAGGGUGCAGGUGGCCAGCAUCACCCUUGCGAUGAAAUCAUGUUUCUCACAUUUUAUAUCUUACAGAGUAGGACAUGGAACAUAAUAAUAGUUUUUGUUCAUUCUAAGUAAACAUCUGACAAUGUCCAAUUCAGUGGGUUCCGCCCCUAAAAUACAACAAUGCUUCCUUAAAUAAAAAAUGGCUGAAAAGAUGUGCA